AAAUUGAAGAGUUUGAUCAUGGCUCAGAUUGAACGCUGGCGGCAGGCCUAACACAUGCAAGUCGAACGGUAACAGAAAGCAGCUUGCUGCUUUGCUGACGAGUGGCGGACGGGUGAGUAAUGUCUGGGAAACUGCCUGAUGGAGGGGGAUAACUACUGGAAACGGUAGCUAAUACCGCAUAACGUCGCAAGACCAAAGAGGGGGACCUUCGGGCCUCUUGCCAUCGGAUGUGCCCAGAUGGGAUUAGCUAGUAGGUGGGGUAAAGGCUCACCUAGGCGACGAUCCCUAGCUGGUCUGAGAGGAUGACCAGCCACACUGGAACUGAGACACGGUCCAGACUCCUACGGGAGGCAGCAGUGGGGAAUAUUGCACAAUGGGCGCAAGCCUGAUGCAGCCAUGCCGCGUGUAUGAAGAAGGCCUUCGGGUUGUAAAGUACUUUCAGCGGGGAGGAAGGGAGUAAAGUUAAUACCUUUGCUCAUUGACGUUACCCGCAGAAGAAGCACCGGCUAACUCCGUGCCAGCAGCCGCGGUAAUACGGAGGGUGCAAGCGUUAAUCGGAAUUACUGGGCGUAAAGCGCACGCAGGCGGUUUGUUAAGUCAGAUGUGAAAUCCCCGGGCUCAACCUGGGAACUGCAUCUGAUACUGGCAAGCUUGAGUCUCGUAGAGGGGGUAGAAUUCCAGGUGUAGCGGUGAAAUGCGUAGAGAUCUGGAGGAAUACCGGUGGCGAAGGCGGCCCCCUGGACGAAGACUGACGCUCAGGUGCGAAAGCGUGGGGAGCAAACAGGAUUAGAUACCCUGGUAGUCCACGCCGUAAACGAUGUCGACUUGGAGGUUGUGCCCUUGAGGCGUGGCUUCCGGAGCUAACGCGUUAAGUCGACCGCCUGGGGAGUACGGCCGCAAGGUUAAAACUCAAAUGAAUUGACGGGGGCCCGCACAAGCGGUGGAGCAUGUGGUUUAAUUCGAUGCAACGCGAAGAACCUUACCUGGUCUUGACAUCCACGGAAGUUUUCAGAGAUGAGAAUGUGCCUUCGGGAACCGUGAGACAGGUGCUGCAUGGCUGUCGUCAGCUCGUGUUGUGAAAUGUUGGGUUAAGUCCCGCAACGAGCGCAACCCUUAUCCUUUGUUGCCAGCGGUCCGGCCGGGAACUCAAAGGAGACUGCCAGUGAUAAACUGGAGGAAGGUGGGGAUGACGUCAAGUCAUCAUGGCCCUUACGACCAGGGCUACACACGUGCUACAAUGGCGCAUACAAAGAGAAGCGACCUCGCGAGAGCAAGCGGACCUCAUAAAGUGCGUCGUAGUCCGGAUUGGAGUCUGCAACUCGACUCCAUGAAGUCGGAAUCGCUAGUAAUCGUGGAUCAGAAUGCCACGGUGAAUACGUUCCCGGGCCUUGUACACACCGCCCGUCACACCAUGGGAGUGGGUUGCAAAAGAAGUAGGUAGCUUAACCUUCGGGAGGGCGCUUACCACUUUGUGAUUCAUGACUGGGGUGAAGUCGUAACAAGGUAACCGUAGGGGAACCUGCGGUUGGAUCACCUCCUUACCUUAAAGAAGC
rnacentral:rRNA from 1 species